AACGAACGCUGGCGGCAUGCCUAACACAUGCAAGUCGAACGAGACCUUCGGGUUUGGUGGCUCCCCGGGUGGUAAAGGGUUGGGACCUGCGCGUGUGAUCUGAAUAACUCCCCGGGAUAGGUUCUAAUACCGGGUAAUAUUUUUGGACAGAAGAUUUGUCGCCGUUGGGUGGGCCGGAGUUGUUUUGGGUAGUUGGUAGGGUAAAAGCCUACCAAGGCGAGGAUCCAUAGCGGGUCUGAGAGGAUGAUCAGCCACACUGGGACUGAGCCACGGCCCAGACUGGUGCGGGAGGCGGGAGUGGGGAAUAAAGGGGUAGGGGCGAAAGCCUGAUACAGCAAUGCCGGGUGGACGAUGUAGGGGUUAGGGUUGUAAAGCUCUCUUAACCGGGCUGAUAAUGACGGUACCGGGAGAAUAAGCACCGGCUAACUACGUG
rnacentral:rRNA from 1 species